rnacentral:rRNA from 1 species
GACGAACGCUGGCGGCGUGCUUAACACAUGCAAGUCGAACGGAAAGGCCCUGCUUUUGUGGGGUGCUCGAGUGGCGAACGGGUGAGUAACACGUGAGUAACCUGCCCUUGACUUUGGGAUAACUUCAGGAAACUGGGGUUAUAACCGCUUAGAAUCUCUUCCACCUGGUGGGGGUUUGGAAAGUUUCGGCGUUGGGGGAUGGACUCGCGGCUUAUCAGCUGGUUGGUGGGGUAGGGGCUUACAAAGCUUUGGACGGGUAGCCGGCCUGGGAGGGUGACCGGCCACAUUGGGACUGAGAUACGGCCCAGACUCCUACGGGAGGCAGCAGUGGGGAAUAUUGCACAAUGGGCGGAAGCCUGAUGCAGCAACGCCGCGUGCGGGAUGACGGCCUUCGGGUUGUAAACCGCUUUCGCCUGUGACGAAGCGUGAGUGACGGUAAUGGGUAAAGAAGCACCGGCUAACUACGUG